UAUGUUAGAGGUUGAGAAGUAUUAAGUUACACUGUCGCAAUACGCCAAGCCCGGAAGGGAAGGUGACAAGAGAUGUGGGGAGGGCUGUCCCACCUAACUUA
ncrna:unclassified sequences skipping-rope RNA